UGAACAAUACAAAACCCUCUUUCUCUCUCUCUCUCUCUCUCUCUGCAAUGGAUCCAAACCCUAAAAACUUCCCGAUCGUGUCCUACGUCAUGUCCCGAAUCAAUUCCCACCUUCCGUUCAUCAAGACAAGAUCCACCGUUGAUUCAUCGCCCUCAUCGUCAGAGACCAUCGACAUUGAGCAGCCGGCACUCGCAUCUCCCUCAACGCAACGCCGCCAAGAAGCAGAAGGGGAGCUGGUGAAGCAGAUGCCUCAUCUGAGCCAUCCACGUGUCCUGGCCUCCAUGACCAACGCCAUCUCCGACGUGGCCCAGACCCGCUCAGUUCUCCAGACCCUCGGGCCCCGGCCUGACCACGAAUCCGUCGAUAACGCUCGCGCUAGGAUCGCUGACAUCGAGGCCAAGCUCUCAAAGCAGCUGGAGGAGAUCGUGCUGGCGAAGCGGCCCGACGGCGUUGAUCGGUUCGAGUGGCGGGCCCAGCAGGCGGAGAGGGAGAGGGAAUGCCGGAGGGAGGCGGAGAAGGAGAAGUACCUUUACAAGGCGGUGGUGCAGCUGGACGAUAUGCAUGAGGCGUACGAGAAGCUGUUGCGGGACGCCGAGGAGAGGCUGCUGAAGAUCUACGACUCGGCCGCGAAGGCGGCUGACAGAAAGGAGGAAGAUUCUGAGAAUGUUGCGGAGAAGGAGGAGACAAACGAGGAAGUGGUCGGGAUACUGCAAGAAGCGAUGGGGAGAGGAUUGGAGAGGGUUGAGCUUGCGGGCCGUCAGCUGAGGUUUCUUCCGGAGGCAUUCGGGCGGCUUCGUGGGCUGCUGGUGCUCAAUCUCUCAAACAAUCAGCUAGAGGUGAUUCCUGAUUCCAUAGCAGGGCUAGAAAAUCUAGAGGAGCUUCACCUUUCUUCCAACCUUUUGACAUCGCUGCCGGACUCCAUCGGACUGUUGUUUAAUCUGAAGAUUCUAGAUGUAUCGGGUAACAAACUUAAGGCACUACCAGACAGCAUCUCCCAUUGCAGGUCAUUGGUGGAGUUGGAUGCAAGUUUCAAUGAACUAACAUAUUUGCCCACCAACAUUGGCUAUGAAUUGGUGAAACUCCAAAAGCUCUCUGUUCACCUCAAUAAGAUUCGCUCACUUCCCACCUCCAUCUGCGAGAUGAAGUCUUUGCUCCAUCUGGAUGCCCACUUUAAUGAGCUCCGUGGCCUGCCGCAUGCGAUUGGGAGACUGACAAAUCUCGAAAUCUUGAAUCUUAGCAGUAAUUUCAGCGACCUGAGAGAGCUUCCUGACACAAUCGGUGAUUUGAUCAAUCUAAGGGAGCUUGAUCUCAGCAACAAUCAGAUCCAUGCUCUUCCGGAUACAUUUGGUCGACUUGAUAAGCUGGCUAAACUUAACUUGGACCAGAAUCCAUGGGUCAUUCCACCUGUGGAGAUUAUUAAUAAAGGGGUAGAAGCUGUGAAGGAAUACAUGGCAAAGAGGUGGGUUGACAUUCUCAUGGAGGAAGAGCACAAGAGCAUGCUCGAAGAAAACAACCAAGCUGAAACAGGUUGGCUGAACCGCAGCACGUCAUGGUUGAAUGGCUGGGUUGCUGGAGUUUCUGAGAGUGUUUCAGGAUUCUUGGGGACCAAAGGGCAUUCUCAGGGAGACCCAUAUCUUGAUCAGCAAUUGUGAUUUCUUGAUCCCAAUGGAAGCUUCUUCGUCUUCGGUUUUCUUAGCAAUGUACAGCUGAUGAUAAGGAACUCUCGGUAUAGGCGAGAAAAACUCUUGAUGUGGGCGAGACUGUGAGAAACUUGAGAAUGCAUUAUAACAAAUGAAGAAAUUCUAAGGUCACCCUUGUGGGUGAAUGAUAUUGGGUCCCAUCUAGAUCAUUCAAUAGAUAGGACCACCUCUUGGAUUAGCUAUAGUCGAAAAAUCUUGCUAACAGAGAGAUCCCAACCAUUCAAUUAAUUAUAUAAAAGAAAACCCUUUAUAGCA